GACUCUGUAGCUCAGUUGGUUAGAGCGCUGCACCGGAAUUGCAGGGCCGCAGGUUCGAUUCCUGCCCGUAUAUA